UACCGUCCGACACUCAGAAAUAUACCGAAUCUACGUCACAAAUUUAAAAAUAUACCUUAAAUAUACUGACGAGAUAUCUGUCUUCACGUUCCAUCAUAUUCCACGUUUUUGAUAUUCGGUUGGUUAUUACUAGAUAGCUAAGACCCUCUUAUCUGAACUUAUAGAUUUAUGCGAAAACAGUCAAGAACAAAUUCCUCUAAAUUCAUGUUUUGACAUGGUAACUACACGCUAACGACACAAUUGCUACAUAAUAUCUACAUUUCCAUGUAAUUAUUGAAAGCGCCACCUGAGGGGAAAAUGUAUUUGAAUGGCAAACGAUCAGGAAUUCGAUAUUGAUCACUCAUAUAUACUCGAUGUGGCCUGGGACAUGGAUCUAAAUGUACAGGGUUUCUACAUUGGUGCAUUCGACAAGAGGGUGUGUGAGCUAGACAUGGUGGCAAGACCCUCAGAAAAAACGGACUCAGUCCACUUAAGCCCCCUAUAUUUAAACAAUUCAACGACUUGAGGUAAAUAUCGGAAAAUAUUAGUGAUUGUAAAUUCUUCUUGAAGAUCCAUGUCAUCUGUCUUUUGAACUUAAAAAAAAACCACAAUAUGUUUAACCUGAACAGCGCUAAAGUGAUAACAUUUUCAUUAUUUUCGGAGCACUAUCAACAUCAUACCCCCUUUGUCAACAAUGGGCUAAUCGCUCUCAGUCAAGGAUUGGAAACAAUAUUCCUCGUUUUUGAUAUUCCGUCGAAUAUUACUAGCUAAAUAGAACCCUCAGCCCUGCCAACGUAUUUUUAUCCGAUAAACGAAUCAAUUCUAUAUUUUUUUGGCUUAUUUCAAAUACUUGCUGUUAUUGUAUUGUGUCUAAAACAAGGUUCAAACAAAAGAGGUCAUCAUGAGGCAUUGUGGCGAGGAAAAGACCCUCCACGAAGAGAGAAUAUCCCAUCACAAAAUAAAGAACAAGUCCCAAAAAAUAGAGAGC